GUCUGGAACACCUUCAUGGAGCACGUGACAUUGGACCUUAGUCCAAUGUGGGGAGGGCCACUGUGCAGGAAGGACUUCUAAUGCACCAAACAUGGUGGCAGAUGCUUUACAGAGAGCCUUAGUGCAGCAGCACCCAGUGUUUUUGGCACCAAGUAUGGUUGAAGAAGAGAUAUUUUUAUGGAGGUUAAUUUUUUAAUUACUUAGUGAUGGAUACACGUGAUAGAAUAUAUGUAAAGUAUCCAUGAAUGCUUCACUUAACCUAAGAGCUCUGGUUCUAAGAACCAGAACAUCACCAGUACAGUGGUACCAUACUCCAUCACCUGUGUGCAAAUGUCAGCAGUGAUGAAUCAGGCAAGGAGGUCAAGACAGCCUUCAGGUUUCCACCAGGACUGGGACUCAGUAAGUCAUUCCUCCCCGUCANNNNNNNNNNNNNNNNNNNNNNNNNNNNAGUCAUUCCUCCCCGUCAUUUGGGUGGCUGCUUUUCCCUUACUCUGCCCUUGUCCUUCCCGAAUCUCAUUUGGUUGGUUUCUGACCAAUCUCUAAAACCUACUCGAGUCAAUUUGAAUUCUAAUCUGAUCCUCCAAGGUGCCCCUCCAGCCUCAGCUGGGUGUCAUCUAUGAAAUUAAUGAGCGUGCUCUCUGUUUCAUCAUCUAGUUCAUUGCUGGAAA
rnacentral:lncRNA from 1 species